rnacentral:misc_RNA from 1 species
GAUGAAGAACGCAGCGAAAUGGGAUACGUAAUGUGAAUUGCAAAUUCAGUGAAUCAUCGAGUCUUUGAACGCACAUUGCGCCCCCUGGUAUUCCGGGGGGCAUGCCUGUCCGAGCGUCAUUGCUGCCCUCAAGCACGGCUUGUGUGUUGGGCCCCGUCCUCCGAUCCCGGGGGACGGGCCCGAAAGGCAGCGGCGGCACCGCGUCCGGUCCUCGAGCGUAUGGGGCUUUGUCACCCGCUCUGUAGGCCCGGCCGGCGCUUGCCGAUCAACCCAAAUUUUUAUCCAGGUUGACCUCGGAUCAGGAAGGGAUACCCGCUGAACUUAAGCAUAUCAAUAAGCGGAGGA